GACCACCCCACUGCACUGUGGGGACCCACCCGACUCCCCACGUCUGGGCGUGGGGCAGCCUCCAAAAACUGAAAGCAAGUGGCAGAUCCUCCUUAUGCUUUGUUGUGGCCACCAAGCCUGUUGGGCAGGGUGUACCGCAGCCCAGAGGAACCCAGGAUAGAAGUCUGUGGCAGGGUGCAAGAGUCUUAUUGCACAGGUGCACUGGGCCAGGCCACACAUAGAGUUGUCCAGAGAGGCAUCCAAGGCCUUUUCCUUGAGGGCCAUAGAUGAAGAGACCCAAGUGCCAGUCCUCAAACCUAGACAUCAUGCAGCAAGC
rnacentral:lncRNA from 1 species